rnacentral:rRNA from 1 species
UUACCUACGGGGGGCAGCAGUGAGGAAUAUUGGGCAAUGGCCGGAAGGCUGACCCAGCAACGCCGCGUGGAGGACGAAGGCUUUCGGGUUGUAAACUCCUUUUCUGGGGGACGAGGAAGGACGGUACCCUAGGAAUAAGUCACGGCUAACUACGUGCCAGCAGCCGCGGUAAAACGUAGGUGGCGAGCGUUAUCCGGAUUUACUGGGCGUAAAGCGCGCGUAGGUGGUUGAGUAAGUUGGGUGUAAAAUCUCUUGGCUUAACUGGGAGGAGACGCUCAAGACUGCUCGGCUUGAGGUCGAGAGAGGGGUGCAGAAUUCCCGGUGUAGUGGUGGAAUGCGUAGAUAUCGGGAGGAAUACCAGUGGCGAAAGCGGCGCCCUGGCUCGCACCUGACACUGAGGCGCGAAAGCGUGGGGAGCGAACGGGAUUAGAUACCCUGGUAGUCCU